UACGGAGGGUGCAAGCGUUAUCCGGAAUCACUGGGUUUAAAGGGUGCGUAGGCGGCUUGGUAAGUCAGAGGUGAAAGCCCGCAGCUUAACUGCGGAACUGCCUUUGAUACUGCCGAGCUUGAAAGAGGUUGAGGUCAGCGGAACGUGACAUGUAGCGGUGAAAUGCAUAGAUAUGUCACAGAACACCAAUUGCGAAGGCAGCUGGCUGGGCCUACUUUGACGCUGAGGCACGAAAGCGUGGGGAGCGAACACG
rnacentral:rRNA from 1 species